rnacentral:rRNA from 1 species
UGCCAGCCGCCGCGGUAAUACGGAGGGUCCAAGCGUUACCCGGAAUUAUUGGGCGUAAAGGGUUCGUAGGCGGACCAUCAAGUCCGAGUUGAAAGCCCACGGCUUAACCGUGGAGGGUGCUCGGAAACUGUUGGUCUUGAAUUCAGAAGAGGCAAGUGGAAUUCUAUGUGGAGCGGUGGAAUGCGUAGAUAUAUGGAGGAACACCAGUGGCGAAGGCGGCUUGCUGGGCUGUAACUGACGCUGAGGCUCGAAAGCGUGGGGAGCGAACAGGAUUAGAUA